GAUGAACGCUGGCGGCGUGCCUAAUACAUGCAAGUCGAGCGAACAGACGAGGAGCUUGCUCCUCUGACGUUAGCGGCGGACGGGUGAGUAACACGUGGAUAACCUACCUAUAAGACUGGGAUAACUUCGGGAAACCGGAGCUAAUACCGGAUAAUAUAUUGAACCGCAUGGUUCAAUAGUGAAAGACGGUUUUGCUGUCACUUAUAGAUGGAUCCGCGCCGCAUUAGCUAGUUGGUAAGGUGACGGCUUACCAAGGCAACGAUGCGUAGCCGACCGGGGAGGGGGGUAGGCCGCAGGAGAGGUGGAACGGGGACAAGCGCCCUGCGGGAGGGACAAGGGGGAUACGGGCGGAAGAGGGGGGAAACAUGGCAGAACGGGCGGAAGGGGGAUGCAGAAGUCUUGGGAGCGUAAGCCCUUUUUUUGGGGGAAAAACAGAUUUGGAAGGAAAUGAACCGUUCUUGACGGUAAUGAAUAAAAAAGCCACGGCUAACUACGUG
rnacentral:rRNA from 1 species